UACGUAGGGUGCAAGCGUUGUCCGGAAUUAUUGGGCGUAAAGAGCUCGUAGGCGGCCUGUCGCGUCCGCUGUGAAAUCCCGGGGCUUAACCCCGGGCGUGCAGUGGAUACGGGCUGGCUGGAGGCAGGCAGGGGAGAACGGAAUUCCCGGUGUAGCGGUGAAAUGCGCAGAUAUCGGGAGGAACACCGGUGGCGAAGGCGGUUCUCUGGGCCUGUACUGACGCUGAGGUGCGAAAGCGUGGGGAGCGAACAGG
rnacentral:rRNA from 1 species